rnacentral:tRNA from 1 species
AGUAAAGUGGCUGAAAUAUUAAUAGGCAAUAAAUUGUAAAUUUAUUUAUGGAUGAUAUCCCUUUAUUA